CUGGUAUGACUGGUUUUACUGAUUCCUCCCUCUUGAAGAACUGUAAUGCCAUUAAUUUGGUGUUGCAGGGAAUCAGGACUGUUACUUUGAAAAAUUAGAGUGUUUAAAGCAGGCUUUAGCUUGAAUACAUUAGCAUGGAAUAAUGAAAUAGGACGUUUGAUCCUAUUUUGUUGGUUUCUAGGAUUGACGUAAUGAUUAAUAGGGAUAGUUGGGGGCAUUAGUAUUCAAUUGUCAGAGGUGAAAUUCUUGGAUUUAUUGAAGACUAACUACUGCGAAAGCAUUUGCCAAGGAUGUUUUCAUUAAUCAAGAACGAAAGUUAGGGGAUCGAAGACGAUCAGAUACCGUCGUAGUCUUAACCAUAAACUAUGCCGACUAGGGAUCGGAUGAUGUUAAUUUUUUAAUGACUCAUUCGGCGCCUUACG
rnacentral:rRNA from 1 species